AUUGAACGCUGGCGGCAGGCCUAACACAUGCAAGUCGAGCGAGCGGCGGACGGGUGAGUAAUGUAUGGGGACUGCCCGAUAGAGGGGGAUAACUACUGGAAACGGUGGCUAAUACCGCAUACUGUCGGAUAACCCAUAUGGGAUUGGCUAGUAGGUAAGGUAAUGGCUUACCUAGGCGACGAUCCCUAGCUGGUCUGAGAGGAUGAUCAACCACACUGGAGCUGAGAAACGGCCCAGACUCCGACGGAGGCAGCAGUGGGGAAUAUGGCACAAGGGGCGCAAGCCGGAUGCAGCAAUGCGGGGGGUAUGAAGAAGGCCCUAGGGUUGGAAAGUACUUUCAGUCGGGAUGCGUUACCGACAGAAGAAGCACCGGCUAAAUCCGUGCCAGCAGCCGCGGUAAUUC
rnacentral:rRNA from 1 species